AAAUUGAAGAGUUUGAUCAUGGCUCAGAUUGAACGCUGGCGGCAGGCCUAACACAUGCAAGUCGAGCGGUAGCACAGAGAGCUUGCUCUCGGGUGACGAGCGGCGGACGGGUGAGUAAUGUCUGGGAAACUGCCUGAUGGAGGGGGAUAACUACUGGAAACGGUAGCUAAUACCGCAUAAUGUCGCAAGACCAAAGUGGGGGACCUUCGGGCCUCAUGCCAUCAGAUGUGCCCAGAUGGGAUUAGCUAGUAGGUGGGGUAAUGGCUCACCUAGGCGACGAUCCCUAGCUGGUCUGAGAGGAUGACCAGCCACACUGGAACUGAGACACGGUCCAGACUCCUACGGGAGGCAGCAGUGGGGAAUAUUGCACAAUGGGCGCAAGCCUGAUGCAGCCAUGCCGCGUGUGUGAAGAAGGCCUUCGGGUUGUAAAGCACUUUCAGCGGGGAGGAAGGCGGUGAGGUUAAUAACCUCACCGAUUGACGUUACCCGCAGAAGAAGCACCGGCUAACUCCGUGCCAGCAGCCGCGGUAAUACGGAGGGUGCAAGCGUUAAUCGGAAUUACUGGGCGUAAAGCGCACGCAGGCGGUCUGUCAAGUCGGAUGUGAAAUCCCCGGGCUCAACCUGGGAACUGCAUUCGAAACUGGCAGGCUAGAGUCUUGUAGAGGGGGGUAGAAUUCCAGGUGUAGCGGUGAAAUGCGUAGAGAUCUGGAGGAAUACCGGUGGCGAAGGCGGCCCCCUGGACAAAGACUGACGCUCAGGUGCGAAAGCGUGGGGAGCAAACAGGAUUAGAUACCCUGGUAGUCCACGCCGUAAACGAUGUCGAUUUGGAGGUUGUGCCCUUGAGGCGUGGCUUCCGGAGCUAACGCGUUAAAUCGACCGCCUGGGGAGUACGGCCGCAAGGUUAAAACUCAAAUGAAUUGACGGGGGCCCGCACAAGCGGUGGAGCAUGUGGUUUAAUUCGAUGCAACGCGAAGAACCUUACCUGGUCUUGACAUCCACAGAACUUUCCAGAGAUGGAUUGGUGCCUUCGGGAACUGUGAGACAGGUGCUGCAUGGCUGUCGUCAGCUCGUGUUGUGAAAUGUUGGGUUAAGUCCCGCAACGAGCGCAACCCUUAUCCUUUGUUGCCAGCGGUUAGGCCGGGAACUCAAAGGAGACUGCCAGUGAUAAACUGGAGGAAGGUGGGGAUGACGUCAAGUCAUCAUGGCCCUUACGACCAGGGCUACACACGUGCUACAAUGGCAUAUACAAAGAGAAGCGACCUCGCGAGAGCAAGCGGACCUCAUAAAGUAUGUCGUAGUCCGGAUUGGAGUCUGCAACUCGACUCCAUGAAGUCGGAAUCGCUAGUAAUCGUAGAUCAGAAUGCUACGGUGAAUACGUUCCCGGGCCUUGUACACACCGCCCGUCACACCAUGGGAGUGGGUUGCAAAAGAAGUAGGUAGCUUAACCUUCGGGAGGGCGCUUACCACUUUGUGAUUCAUGACUGGGGUGAAGUCGUAACAAGGUAACCGUAGGGGAACCUGCGGUUGGAUCACCUCCUUA
rnacentral:rRNA from 1 species